UUUAACUCAAGUGGCGGACGGGUAAGUAACACGUGAGAAUUUACCUUUAGGAGGGGGAUAACAAUUGGAAACGAUUGCUAAUACCCCAUAUGCUUGAGAGUGAAAUAGAUUUAUCUGCCUAAAGAAAAGCUCGCGGCUGAUUAGCUAGUUGGUAAGGUAAUGGCUUACCAAGGCGACGAUCAGUAUCUGGUUUGAGAGGACGAUCAGACACACUGGAACUGAGACACGGUCCAGACUCCUACGGGAGGCAGCAGUGGGGAAUUUUCCGCAAUGGGCGAAAGCCUGACGGAGCAAUACCGCGUGAGGGAAGACUGCCUAUGGGUUGUAAACCUCUUUUUCCAGGGAGGAAUAACUGACGUGUACCUGAAGAAUAAGCAUCGGCUAACUCCGUGCCAGCAGCCGCGGUAAGACGGAGGAUGCAAGUGUUAUCCGGAAUCACUGGGCGUAAAGCGUCUGUAGGUGGUUUAAUAAGUCAACUGUUAAAUCUUGAAGCUCAACUUCAAAACCGCAGUCGAAACUAUUAGACUAGAGUAUAGUAGGGGUAAAGGGAA
rnacentral:rRNA from 1 species